GGUGCUGCUGUUGUUGCCAUGGUUAUGUCCUCAACAUAUUUCUCAACAGGAAUUUCCACCCCAGUAAUGUGUAUGUAACAAUAAGAUUGUUUUUGUUCAAGAGGUUGUAAAGGAUAAAGAGAUAACAGUUUAGUCUGAAGGUGAAGGGAGAGGGAAGAGCUGAUGAAAGUUGCUGAUGAAAGAACAUCUGGAGCCUGAGGAAAGAAAGCCUUGAGACCUUCAACACCAUCUAUUACAACAUCCCGCAUUAAAGUGGUAGGUAAUCGUAGACUCGAACCGA